rnacentral:lncRNA from 1 species
UAGAUCAUCCUCAAUAGUGUGAUCUUGUUUAUUAGGAAAACAAAUUCGGAUCGUUCGAUUGAAGACGCGCGGAUUGUUUGAUCGCACUUAUCCGAAAAAUCAAUCUGCAUCGUUUGUGCGCGCGGGAGUGGAUGCGAGAUGUUCGAUUGCCUUGGCUCGCGGAUCGCCUGCGUGGCUCCCACAUAGAGCCCGUGUUUGCAUGUACACCACGCGACGCAUCCUGGCUCAUUGUGCUGCUGACGUGGCUGUCAUAC